UACAGAGGGGGCAAGCGUUAUUCGGAAUUAUUGGGCGUAAAGGGCGCGUAGGCGGCCUGGCAAGUGGAUGGUGAAAUCCCUCGGCUUAACCGAGGAACUGCCAUCCAGACUGCUUGGCUUGAGACCGGGAGAGGUGAGUGGAAUUCCCAGUGUAGCGGUGAAAUGCGUAGAUAUUGGGAGGAACACCAGUGGCGAAGGCACUUUACUGGGCUAUUACUAACACUCAGAGACGAAAGCUAGGGUAGCAAAUGGG
rnacentral:rRNA from 1 species